AUUGAACGCUGGCGGCGUGCUUAACACAUGCAAGUCGUGCGGUAACAGGCGUAGCAAUACGUGCUGACGAGCGGCGAACGGGUGCGUAAUACAUGGGAAUCUGCCCUUUAGUGGGGAAUAACCCGGCGAAAGCCGGGCUAAUGCCGCAUAAGAUCUUCGGAUGAAAGCGGGGGAUCGUAAGACCUCGCGCUGAUGGAUGAGCCCAUGUCGGAUUAGCUAGUGGUGAGGUAACGGCUCACCAAGGCGACGAUCCGUAGCUGGUCUGAGAGGACGGCCAGCCACACUGGGACUGAGACACGGCCCAGACUCCUACGGGAGGCAGCAGUGGGGAAUAUUGGACAAUGGGCGAAAGCCUGAUCCAGCGACGCCGCGUGUGUGAAGAAGGCCUGCGGGUUGUAAAGCACUUUC
rnacentral:rRNA from 1 species